GAUGAACGCUGGCGGCGUGCCUAAUACAUGCAAGUCGAGCGAACAGACGAGGAGCUUGCUCCUCUGACGUUAGCGGCGGACGGGUGAGUAACACGUGGAUAACCUACCUAUAAGACUGGGAUAACUUCGGGAAACCGGAGCUAAUACCGGAUAAUAUAUUGAACCGCAUGGUUCAAUAGUGAAAGACGGUUUUGCUGUCACUUAUAGAUGGAUCCGCGCCGCAUUAGCUAGUUGGUAAGGUAACGGCUUACCAAGGCAACGAUGCGUAGCCGACCUGAGAGGGUGAUCGGCCACACUGGAACUGAGACACGGUCCAGACUCCUACGGGAGGCCGCAGUAGGGAAUCUUCCGCAAUGGGCGAAAGCCUGACGGAGCAACGCCGCGUGAGUGAUGAAGGUCUUCGGAUCGUAAAACUCUGUUAUUAGGGAAGAACAAAUGUGUAAGUAACUAUGCACGUCUUGACGGUACCUAAUCAGAAAGCCACGGCUAACUUCGUG
rnacentral:rRNA from 1 species